rnacentral:rRNA from 1 species
CGAAACCGAUAGCGAACAAGUACCGUGAGGGAAAGUUGAAAAGUACUCUGAAUAGAGAGUUAAAUAGUACGUGAAACCGCUUAGGGGUUAAGCCCGAUGAACCCGAAUAUCUGAUGUGAGAAUUUCAAUAAUGUUCAUUCAACGGAUAGUAUGCACUUUUCUCAUAGUAAGACAUUGUAAUCCAUUGAUACUAUAUCUCUUUCACUAACGGGAGAGAUGAUUUAACAUACGGACAAAAUGUAUAAGUUUAUUCUAUCAGUGAUGUGUUUACAUGUCAUAUGAAUAAGAUCGUUUGUGCCUGUUUAAAUAGUCGAUGGAUUUUAAAUGAAUCAUGCUUGCAAUUCAUUUUGCGUUUCGUAUUAUGGGCCUUUUUGGUUGGUAAUAGCAGAAAUGGCAUGCAUUCGAUUAACAAUGCGAUAGAUUUGGGAUACUUUCAGGACCCGUCUUGA